rnacentral:rRNA from 1 species
UAAGAUAAUUUAAGUAAAAAUACCCGAAAACAUAAGAUCUAAGUGUAAUAUUGAUUUUUAGGUUAAAGUUUAAGUGCUGUGGCAUCAGCUCGUAGCAUAUAAUACCUUAGUGGUGAAAGGCCUACAAUUAUGUUGAUAGCUGGAUAAUUAUUAAAUAUAUUUAGUUUAUACUAAAUUUAUAAAGUGAUAAGAUUUUAUAAUAAGAAUUUAACGUAUGCUUUUAAAGUACUAUUAAUCAAGCCUUAGCAGUAAUAAAUCAAAAUAAAAUAGUUUUACAUGUAAUAUUCUUUAGUAGUAAUUUAUUUAUCUAAACUAAUUAGUAAAUUUGACAAUGUAUAAAUUAGUAUAUUAUUAUAAAUUUAACUAAAUAAACUCGGCAAAUAUUAUAUACGACUGUUUAACAAAAACAUAGCCGGUAGCUGUUUUAUUGUCGGUGUGACCUGCCCAGUGAAUUUUUAACGGCCGCAGUACUAUGACUGUGCAAAGGUAGCAUAAUCAUUUGACUUUUAAUUGAAGUCUAGUAUGAAAGGAAAAACGUAUAUAAGCUGUAUCUAAUUAUAAAUUUAUUUAAAUUAUUUAUAGGGUGAAAAUACCCUAAAUAAAAAAAAUAGACGAGAAGACCCUUAGAAUUUUAAGAAAAGCCAUAAACUAAAUACGGGAUGAUUUUUGUUGGGGCAACAUUUUUUCAUAUAAAUAAAAAAAAUCAACAUUAUAAUAUAACGAAAAAGUUUAAUAAAGAAAAAAUUACCUUAGGGAUAACAGCAUAAUUUUAAAUAAAGAUUGUGACCUCGAUGUUGGACUAGGAAAUAUUAAGGCUAAUCGUUUUAAUAUAAUAAGUUCUGUUCGAACUUUGCUUCCUA